rnacentral:rRNA from 1 species
UACGUAGGGGGCUAGCGUUGUCCGGAAUCAUUGGGCGUAAAGAGCGCGUAGGCGGCCAGAUAAGUCCGGUGUGAAAGUCACAGGCUCAACCUGUGAAUGCCGCUGGAAACUGUCUGGCUAGAGUCCGGGAGGGGCGAGUGGAAUUCCUGGUGUAGCGGUGAAAUGCGUAGAUAUACGGAGGAACACCAGCGGCGAAGGCGGGUAGCUGGGCCAACACUGACGCUGAUGCGCGAAAGCCAGGGGAGCGAACGGG